rnacentral:tRNA from 1 species
GAAAAUAGCUCAGUUGGUAGAGCACAACCUUGCCAAGGUUGGGGUCGCGGGUUCGAAUCCCGUUUUUC